rnacentral:rRNA from 1 species
UACGGGGGGGGGCAAGCGUUGUUCGGAAUUACUGGGCGUAAAGGGCUCGUAGGCGGCCAACUAGGUCAGACGUGAAAUCCCUCGGCUUAACCGGGGGAACUGCGUCUGAUACUGGAUGGCUUGAAUCCGGGAGAGGGAUGCGGAAUUCCAGGUGUAGCGGUGAAAUGCGUAGAUAUCGGAAGGAACAUCAGUGGCGAAAGCGACUGCCUGGCCCAAUACUGACGCUCAUGUGCGAAAGCGUGGGGAGCAAACAGG